rnacentral:lncRNA from 1 species
GGGAUUCACUGGCUCACUUGGGGGAUGCUGUACCUCUGUCCUUCUUGCUUCCCAUAUGGCUCAUUGACUGGCAUGAACUCACCAGCCAUUGUUUCUUGUGUAGAAGGUGUUUCAUUGGAAGGACCUUGUAGAGCAUGUCCCCAGGAGCUGCCUUCCUAGCGGACUGGAGACUGGGUGUCCUCCAGGAGGGGUAAGUGUGAGAUGAUGCAGCAGACUACUACCUGAAGCAGAGAUGGCAAAGGCCAAGAAUUGAAUUUUGUGUGUGAUCACAGUCAUCUAACAAAUGACUAGUACCUUCUCGCACGUUCAGACAUUGCCCUCAUUGCAGAGAGGGUAAUCUCAACAGCUGUAUUCCUAUCUCUCUGUCACCAACUGAUAACUGAAAUGUACUCAAAUAGCUAGGCGAUGGCUUAGUAUAUUUGGGCACUUCCAAUCUUAUAAUGAAGAACAGCAGAGAGCUACACACAGAGAGCUCCUCUUCCUCCCUCCCUCCCACCCCCUUCUCUCUCCCUCUCCUUCCACUUACACCUGUUCCCAGUUCUUGUACCUUAUGGAAGCUCCAGGCUUACACAUUGCUAUACACUCUCUGUGUCUCCCCAUUAAUGCAUUUCUUCUGUGUAUAUAUGUACCUGUGUUCACAUUCUCCCGAUUUUUAAAGGCCACCGAUCAAUUUGAUUUGAGGACUACCCUUCAUGAUCUCAUUUUGCUUUAUAUCGCUGAGAUGAUCCAUUGUCCAGGUAAGUUCCCAUUUCCAGGUUCCGGGAGUGGGAGCCUGCCUGCAAAUUGUAUUUGGAGGAGGACAGGGGAAGUCACUACAGGUUAUGUAUCAGUUGGAGUCCUGAGUGAGAGUCACUGGAGCCAUCUACUGAAAGGCUGCAAAUAGAGUAUCCAUGGGAUAAACAAUUAUUUUUAAGACAGGCCGUUUAUAUGGAAUGCUUUGAACUUGAACCCAGGGCCUCUAGACUUACGCAGUUUUUGGUCCCAGGAGUAACUGGCUUGUUGGUUGAUCAUAAGCUUUGCAUGCUAGCCUUACUCUUUCAAGGUUUUUAUUAGUCUUUUCUUUUUUUUUCUUUUUAAAAAAGUCCAUUUUAAUUGGAGAUUUUGACAUUGACAUUAUUCGGGUUGGGAAGAGCCUGAGGCAACAUAAAGUAAUUGUCUUUUAUCAGAAGAGUUCAGGAGGACACUGGGUGAUCUCCAUCAACUCUGAAAACACGGAGUCCUUCCUGAAAUACCUUCACAGUGAAAAGGACUACUUGUCAGAUGUCGAGGCCGGGAACCGGUUUGGAGAUUCUUGUGUGAUCGUUUGAGGGUGUAUGGACAUCCACAGAGUGUCACUGCUUAGCCAGUGUGGUCCAUCUUGUUAGACCAUGACUGUGCAUGCAUGGCCAGUCAGAAGCCUCUCAGGAGGUGACAUACAUGCUGGCAACACUGGGGAAUGGGCCACACAUGUCCUGGGUCACUCAUUCUCUUGACUUCCUUUACUAUGUUUUAUCUUUCAUCGUUCUAACAAAAUAUAUGAAUCUGGGUGCUGUA